AUAUUAUGAUGACUAAAGGAUACCGCCCCAGUCGGAGAAAUUAUGUCGAUUGGUUAAACAUACUGACU
rnacentral:snoRNA from 1 species